GACGAACCGUGCGAACGUUGUUCGGAUUCACUGGGCUUAAAGGGCGCGUAGGCGGGUUGUCAAGUCAGGGGUGAAAGCCUCCAGCUCAACUGGAGAAGUGCCUUUGAUACUGAUGAUCUUGAGGGAGGUAGGGGCAUGUGGAACUUCCGGUGGAGCGGUGAAAUGCGUAGAUAUCGGAAGGAACGCCGGUGGCGAAAGCGAAUCUCUGGACAGUUACUGACACUGAGGCACGAAGGCCAGGGGAGCAAACGGG
rnacentral:rRNA from 1 species